GUGCUUUUAAAGUCUCUAAAAUGCAGUAUUUACAUCUCAUAAUUAAAUAGAAAAUGAGUCAAAUAACUGCAAAAAGGUCCAGUUUUCCAGAAAAAAAAGAACAACCCCAUUCAAUAAGCUGGUUGCUGGUUAGUCAUGAUUCAUUUCACUCAAGUGAGGUUUGUCAGUCGUUCCCGAAUGAACCUGGUCGUCUGACAGGCGAAUCUGAAAUGCGCGCGCUCGCACCUGAUGGCGGGAAUAGAAGUGUGUGCACACGGCGCUCUUCAACACACACCCAUUAUUCCAAAGCAAAGCUGUGUGACGCGUCGUGAUCGAUGGCGGCCAUUAAUCACGCCAGCGCCGCGGCUAGAGAUUGAUGUGCACAAAUUCAAAUCUUCAAGCAGCGUUUGGGAAAUUAAAGCAGCCAGGCAAGGUUAGGGUCCUUCCCGGCGACGCUGAAUGAGCUCCCGGGGGUAAAGGAAUCUCAAGCUGAGGUCAGGAGAGCUUCUUUUAACCUGUGAACCGCCAGCUGUCAGCAGCACACAACGGAUGCCCUGUCAAAACGACGAGGAAAUGGGCAAAUAUAACUUCACACUGUACUUAAAAGGUCACAGAGACAUUUACGGCUAUGCGCGCCACCAGUUUACUUCAAAACCCCGCCGUCGAGUGCAAUGCUUUACAGUGGACAUAAAGCAGGAGAUGUUCAACAUCAUCACCGAUAAAUCUCGAAAUCAAAGCAAACCCAAAUGGAAGCAGAAACAAGUGAGUGAACAUUUCUGGGAGAUUUACUGCAGCGGGUCGAAAAUCUGUCUGCACAGCGACAAAGAACAAGGAAAUUGAUGUUAAAGAAAAACAUGACAUGCUCUUGUGAUCUGUGGUCUACAAAUUUGAAUUAGUUGUGAAUCAUCAAAGUAAUCAGAGCUCAUG
rnacentral:lncRNA from 1 species